UAGGGAAUCUUCGGCAAUGGGGGCAACCCUGACCGAGCAACGCCGCGUGAGUGAAGAAGGUUUUCGGAUCGUAAAGCUCUGUUGUAAGAGAAGAACGUGUGUGAGAGUGGAAAGUUCACACAGUGACGGUAACUUACCAGAAAGGGACGGCUAACUACGUGCCAGCAGCCGCGGUAAUACGUAGGUCCCGAGCGUUGUCCGGAUUUAUUGGGCGUAAAGCGAGCGCAGGCGGUUUAAUAAGUCUGAAGUUAAAGGCAGUGGCUUAACCAUUGUUCGUUUUGGAAACUGUUAAACUUGAUGGCAGAAGGGGAGAGUGGAAUUCCAUGUGGAGCGGUGAAAUGCGUAGAUAUAUGGAGGAACACCGGUGGCGAAAGCGGCUCUCUGGUCUGUAACUGACGCUGAGGCUCGAAAGCGUGGGGAGCAAACAGG
rnacentral:rRNA from 1 species